GACGAACGCUGGCGGCGUGCUUAACACAUGCCAGUCGAACGCUGAAGCUCAGCUUUUGUUGGGUGGAUGAGUGGCGAACGGGUGAGUAACACGUGAGUAACCUGCCCCCUUCUUUGGGAUAACGCCCGGAAACGGGUGCUAAUACUGGAUAUUCACUGGUCUUCGCAUGGGGGUUGGUGGAAAGGGUUUUUCUGGUGGGGGAUGGGCUCGCGGCCUAUCAGCUUGUUGGUGGGGUGAUGGCCUACCAAGGCUUUGACGGGUAGCCGGCCUGAGAGGGUGACCGGUCACAUUGGGACUGAGAUACGGCCCAGACUCCUACGGGAGGCAGCAGUGGGGAAUAUUGCACAAUGGGCGCAAGCCUGAUGCAGCGACGCCGCGGGAGGGAUGGAGGCCUUCGGGUUGUGAACCUCUUUCGCUCAUGGUCAAGCCGCAACAAUGGUUGUGGUGAGGGUAGUGGGUAAAGAAGCGCCGGCUAACUACGUG
rnacentral:rRNA from 1 species